rnacentral:rRNA from 1 species
CUCGUGUCGUGAGAUGUUGGGUUAAGUCCCGCAACGAGCGCAACCCUUAAGCUUAGUUGCCAUCAUUAAGUUGGGCACUCUAAGUUGACUGCCGGUGACAAACCGGAGGAAGGUGGGGAUGACGUCAAAUCAUCAUGCCCCUUAUGAUUUGGGCUACACACGUGCUACAAUGGACAAUACAAAGGGUAGCGAAACCGCGAGGUCAAGCAAAUCCCAUAAAGUUGUUCUCAGUUCGGAUUGUAGUCUGCAACUCGACUAUAUGAAGCUGGAAUCGCUAGUAAUCGUAGAUCAGCAUGCUACGGUGAAUACGUUCCCGGGUCUUGUACACACCGCCCGU